rnacentral:lncRNA from 1 species
GGGCAAUUGUUCUCUUCAUCGAAGAAUGGUUUUUGUCAACGUUCAGUGAGAUCAUUUCACCAGUGAGGUGGCCACAGCGGCGCUUUCUCUACCCAAACCUCACUUCCUCUCGCUGAAGGGGUUCCAGUCUCGAUCAUCAGUGAAGUCCUUCCACAUCCAUGGGGCGUCCACCAACUAGGAGCUUAAUCAACUCAACGCUGUGGCCUCUCCAGCUCAGGGACGUGCCUUUUCCGUGUCUUCUUCUCACACACAAACGUAGCCUGCAAGGAAGGUCAGGUUCAAUGCACGGAAUCUACCCUGCUGCCCGCUAGGAGGUCAUAUGUGUAUCACAGACCCGCAGAGAAUGCUCUCCACAGUACAUGAGGCGCGGUACAAAUGGAAUGAGUGUAACGCGCAUUCUCUGUUUGAAAAAAGUUAUCCCAAUUGAAUAGUCGGUAAUUUCUCUUUAUUGUAACCCAAUAGAUCACAAAAUGCAACCUGAGGUUUAAGCUGAGGGGUGGGGCGUUUGCAGAGGGCUGUGGUGGAGGUUAGAUUAGGUUUACAGAAGGCUGUGUGGUGGAGGUUAGGUUAGGUUUGCAGAAUGCUGUGUGGUGGAGGUUGGGUUAGGUUUGCAGAAGGCUGUGUGGUGGAGGUUAGGUUAGGUUUGCAGAGGGCUGUGUGAUGGAGGUUAGGUUAGGUUUGCAGAGGGCUGUGUGAUGGAGGUUAGGUUAGGUUUACAGAAGGCUGUGU